UGGGGAAUAUUGGACAAUGGGGGGAACCCUGAUCCAGCCAUGCCGCGUGUGUGAAGAAGGCCUUAUGGUUGUAAAGCACUUUAAGCGAGGAGGAGGGUACUGGUAUUAAUACUACCAGGUACUGGACGUUACUCGCAGAAUAAGCACCGGCUAACUCUGUGCCAGCAGCCGCGGUAAUACAGAGGGUGCGAGCGUUAAUCGGAUUUACUGGGCGUAAAGCGUGCGUAGGCGGCUAAUUGAGUCGGAUGUGAAAUCCCCGAGCUUAACUUGGGAAUUGCAUUCGAUACUGGUUAGCUAGAGUGUGGGAGAGGAUGGUAGAGUUCCAGGUGUAGCGGUGAAAUGCGUAGAGAUCUGGAGGAAUACCGAUGGCGAAGGCAGCCAUCUGGCCUAACACUGACGCUGAGGUACGAAAGCAUGGGGAGCAAACAGG
rnacentral:rRNA from 1 species